UAGAUAGUUUUUGUUGUACAACCUCCAACAAAUGGGUUUCUAUUUCACUCUUCAAAUGGGUUUCUAUCUCUAUUGAAUAAAUUGUUUCUAACAUAUGAAAUGGGUUUUGAUUUCUCAUGAAUAUAUUGUUUACAGACACUGUUCAUCUCUUGAAAUGGGUUUAGAAAUUAACUGUUCAUCUCCAUCAUGCAGACACUGAAGGUUUUGGUUCUCCGCAGAGGCUGAAGAGCUCGCCGGAGUAGUGGCGGUGAAGAAGGAAGGAGAUGGAGAAGGGGAGGAACCCUCUAGAACACCGGGAGGAAUUUAAGGAUGAGAAGAUGGUUGAUGUGAAGUCAUUACACAUCCGAAACUUUCUCUGAAGUUGAGUUUGUUGGUUAGUGCUUUGCUUUGCAUUUAACAAUUGUUAGGAUACUCAUAUCCAACAAUUGUUUCUCUAUUUUCUUUGAUUGAAAUUCAUUGAUUACCUAGGGACCUGUGUUAAAAAGAAAUGUAAUCCUAGAUUUAAUAGUAAACCACUUGAUUAUCUUUUCGUCUAUUGUUAUUGGUCAGUUUCAGACAAAAUAAAUUUAAAAACUAUGCCAAUAUACU